UACAGAGGUCUCAAGCGUUGUUCGGAUUCAUUGGGCGUGAAGGGUGCGUAGGUGGCGGGGUUAGUCAGGUGUGAAAUCUCGGGGCUCAACCCCGAAACUGCACUUGAUACUGCCUUGCUAGAGUACUGGAGAGGAGAUUGGAAUUUACGGUGUAGCAGUGAAAUGCGUAGAUAUCGUAAGGAAGACCAGUGGCGAAGGCGAAUCUCUGGACAGUUACUGACACUGAGGCACGAAGGCCAGGGGAGCAAACGGG
rnacentral:rRNA from 1 species